GGCUCACCAAGGCGACGAUCUCUAGCUGGUCUGAGAGGAUGACCAGCCACACUGGAACUGAGACACGGUCCAGACUCCUACGGGAGGCAGCAGUGGGGAAUAUUGCACAAUGGGGGGAACCCUGAUGCAGCCAUGCCGCGUGUAUGAAGAAGGCCUUCGGGUUGUAAAGUACUUUCGGUGAUGAGGAAGGAGAUGUAUCUAAUAGGUACAUUAAUUGACGUUAAUUACAGAAGAAGCACCGGCUAACUCCGUGCCAGCAGCCGCGGUAAUACGGAGGGUGCGAGCGUUAAUCGGAAUGACUGGGCGUAAAGGGCAUGUAGGCGGAUAAUUAAGUUAGGUGUGAAAGCCCUGGGCUCAACCUAGGAAUUGCACUUAAAACUGGUUAACUAGAGUAUUGUAGAGGAAGGUAGAAUUCCACGUGUAGCGGUGAAAUGCGUAGAGAUGUGGAGGAAUACCGGUGGCGAAGGCGGCCUUCUGGACAGAUACUGACGCUGAGAUGCGAAAGCGUGGGGAGCAAACAGGAUUAGAUACCCUGGUAGUCCACGCUGUAAACGAUGUCGAUUUGGAGUUUGUUGCCUAGAGUGAUGGGCUCCGAAGCUAACGCGAUAAAUCGACCGCCUGGGGAGUACGGCCGCAAGGUUAAAACUCAAAUGAAUUGACGGGGGCCCGCACAAGCGGUGGAGCAUGUGGUUUAAUUCGAUGCAACGCGAAGAACCUUACCUGGUCUUGACAUCCACAGAAUCUUGUAGAGAUACGAGAGUGCCUUCGGGAACUGUGAGACAGGUGCUGCAUGGCUGUCGUCAGCUCGUGUUGUGAAAUGUUGGGUUAAGUCCCGCAACGAGCGCAACCCUUAUCCUUUGUUGCCAUCGAUUCGGUCGGGAACUCAAAGGAGACUGCCGUUG
rnacentral:rRNA from 1 species